GUGCUUGCUUCAGCAGCACAAAUGCUAAAAUUGGAACGAUACAGAGAAGAUUAGCAUGGCCCCUGCAAAUGGAUGACACACAAAUUUGUGAAGAUUCCAUACUUUAA